UUGUUUGUUAUUCUAUACAUGGAGAAUCUAACUGGCAGGGGGAUGAGACCAUUCAGCGCGGUAUGCCCUUUUUGCUAUGCAACACUACUAGCUAAAUAACUUGUUGUUUCCGGAGCACUUGUUGUUUCCAUUUUUUGCUACUUUUCUAAUGGUAAUCACGUUUUUUGAAUUUUUCUCCUAACUAACUUACAAAGCUCCCUUGUUGUAUGCCCAGGACACGAGGUCAUUGCUCAAAUUCCGAUCAUUUGUUGCAGCGAAGCUUUUUAAGCACCCUCAAAACACACUCAACUCAGCCGAAGAGUUUCAGAAACUGCUGAGUAGCUCGUAGAAGAUGUCAAUCGGAGCAAAGUAUUUCCUAGAUAGUUUUAGGCUGCUUUUUUGUGGACAAAUGUAUGCGCUACAUCCUUUUUUGUGU
rnacentral:lncRNA from 1 species